rnacentral:rRNA from 1 species
AUGGAUUCCUCUGGACAAGAAGGAGGUGGGGUUGCCCAAGUUGUUGAUCCAGAAGGGGAGGAACGAACUGAAUAUCCCCCUCAAGGUCUCCGCGAUGACUCAGCCCAAGAAGGAGGUGGGGUUGCCCAAGUUGAUGAACCAGAAGGUGAGGAACCAACUGAAUAUCCAGAACGAGGUCUCCGCAAUGACUCAGCUCGGGUAUUCCCUCGCAAGUUAUGCAAGUCUACUUACAUUACUAGGCUGUCUUUCAAGCGUUGGGAAAAAACUGUGAAGAAGUUUAGUGACAUUCAGUUAGGCCAUGUGAGAAAGUACAAAAUGGAAGCUCUGCUUCAUAUGCCAAAGAAACUCAAAAUCCCCAUGAAUCUGCUUGAAUGGAUAGAUCAACACAUGUUUGGAACUAAAGAGCCCUGUUUCAAGCAUAAGAAUAAAGUUAUCAAGAUUAUUAAAGAUAUGGUCGACAAAAUUUUCGAUUUCCCUGGUGGCACCGAGCCUUUUGUAUUCAGUAGCGACGAUCCCCAAGUGAAAGAAGAGGUUACACAGUUGAGGAACAAGUAUAUUGAUCAUCGGAACAAAAUGCCAAUUAAUAAAAUAGAGGAGGUGAUGCUUAGUGACGAGACAGAAGAUGGUUUUAUUAGGAGCUUCACAUUUUAUUUCCUAUCAUCUAUUUUGUGCCCUGCGUCAUAUUGUUUUGGCAACACCAAGUUCUUGUACUCUCUGAGAGAUGUUUCUGCUAUUCCUUCACUCGACUUUGCGCAAUUGGCACUGGAUUUCAUGCGUGAGGAGUCAGAGCGUCACUUUAAAAUGAUCAUGAACAGACCAAGUGUUGAGGAAAUGAACAAGUCUUCAUAUAUUGGGGGAUGUCUUCCUAUCUGGGGAAUCAUUUAUCUGGAUUUUGUUGAUUUCGAUGUUAUUGAUAAUCAUCAGUCUACUGUGGAUUAUUCUCUUCCACGGAUAUGUCAUGUUAAGACUGAAGAUUUCAAGUAUCUUGCAUUGGUUGAUAGGAAUUAUGAGUCUAGGAAUUUUUUUGGUGUUUUACCACUGCGAGACAUAUCACAGACCCCAUAUUACAAUGCCGGGCCUAUUAACAAUGCUCCCGAUGCUGCUGGUGUGAUUAACUCAACUCCUUAUGUGGAGGUCAACAAUGCAAAUAGUGUUCGUGAAGCUCUACAUGAGAACACGUCAAUUGAUUCAAAAAGUCCUCAUAUCAUUUCAGAAAUUCCCAGUUCCACUGCAAAAGUUGAAGCAGAUUUAAAACCGAAACCAGAGCCACAUUUGAAAUCAGAGGUUCCCUCCAAUGAUGUCCUUAAGCCGGAGCCAAUCGGACCAAAAUUUGAGAACAUUUCUAUCAUGAAUUCGGUGUACAAAACACCAAUAUUCCCAGCUCAUACUUCAAAUGUGAACACCAACUCUGUCCACCAAGAAACUACUUCACAACCUAAGGAAGAAGUUUUUAUAUCAGCUGAAGCAAAUGAUAUCAAAUUUUCCACUGAAGUUAAUGCAAAAAGAAGUUUUAUACUCAUCAGUUCUGCCUCUGGAAAUGAAAGAGUCAAGCGUUUUCAAGGAACUCCAAUUCUUAUUGAUGAUGAUUCUCCUACCACUCCUGCUGCUGCGACUAACAAAGAGAUACCAGCCUCUCGCUGUGAUACAAGUGAAGGAAUUCCAAUGAACAUGGAGUUUUUUGUCCAACUAGGCUAUUCUUCAUUGAAUAAUGCAGAAGCUGGACGAAGUACAUGA